GGGUAUAUAACUCAGUUGGUAGAGUGCUGGCCUCAAAUGCACAAGGCCCUGGGUUUAAUCCCCAGUACCACCA
rnacentral:tRNA from 1 species